CAGCCGCCGCGGGAAUACGUAGGUGGCAAGCGUUGUCCGGAAUUAUUGGGCGUAAAGGGCUCGCAGGCGGUUUCUUAAGUCUGAUGUGAGAGCCCCCGGCUCAACCGGGGAGGGUCAUUGGAAACUGGGAAACUUGAGUGCAGAAGAGGAGAGUGGAAUUCCACGUGUAGCGGUGAAAUGCGUAGAGAUGUGGAGGAACACCAGUGGCGAAGGCGACUCUCUGGUCUGUAACUGACGCCGAGGAGCGAAAGCGUGGGGAGCGAACAGGAUUAGAUACCCCGGUAGUCCCUGUCUCUUAUAC
rnacentral:rRNA from 1 species